rnacentral:lncRNA from 10 species
AGUCAUCAGCAGCAAGAUGGGCAUUGUCAGUCUGCAGAACGCAUUGUCCACAAUAUUUGUGAAGAUCUGAGCCCUCAGGUCCUCAAUGGUCUUGAAAUAAUGGCUCCAGUCUCUGACCUGGGGUCCCUGCUUCUCCAGGUGCUCCCGGAUUUUGCUCUCUAGCCUCCGGUUCUCGGUCUCCAGGCUCCUCACUCUGUCCAGUUUUCCUGACUCUGAUUCUGCGUGGGACAACCAGUGAAAAUUGCAGGUGAAGAGAAGAAAUGCGUAUUUAUUCCUCCACUGGGAAAAAAAAUACCAUCCAAAGCUACAUGACUUGAGCGAUUGGUUCUGAAUGUCUGUCAUGUCCAGAACUCUUGCUGGAACACUUGCAAGGGGAGGAGAGAGAAGUGCUUGUUCUUGCUGGGAUUACUGAGAGGAGGAUUUAAGCACAGAGCUACUGAGUGCCAUCUUGACACAAAAGAGAACCAGCUGGAGAAUGGAACCAGCAGAGAAAAGAGCAGAGACCAGAGCUAGAAACAGAAUCCAAUCACUUAGUUUAUUUCCC